rnacentral:rRNA from 1 species
ACCCGGAGAACUGAAACAUCUUAGUACCCGGAGGAAGAGAAAGAAAAUUCGAUUCCCUUAGUAGCGGCGAGCGAAACGGGAAGAGCCCAAACCAACAAGCUUGCUUGUUGGGGUUGUAGGACACUCUAUACGGAGUUACAAAGGACGACAUUAGACGAAUCAUCUGGAAAGAUGAAUCAAAGAAGGUAAUAAUCCUGUAGUCGAAAAUGUUGUCUCUCUUGAGUGGAUCCUGAGUACGACGGAGCACGUGAAAUUCCGUCGGAAUCUGGGAGGACCAUCUCCUAAGGCUAAAUACUCUCUAGUGACCGAUAGUGAACCAGUACCGUGAGGGAAAGGUGAAAAGCACCCCGGAAGGGGAGUGAAAUAGAACCUGAAACCGUGUGCUUACAAGUAGUCAGAGCCCGUUAAUGGGUGAUGGCGUGCCUUUUGUAGAAUGAACCGGCGAGUUACGAUUUGAUGCAAGGUUAAGCAGUAAAUGUGGAGCCGUAGCGAAAGCGAGUCUGAAUAGGGCGUUUAGUAUUUGGUCGUAGACCCGAAACCAGGUGAUCUACCCUUGGUCAGGUUGAAGUUCAGGUAACACUGAAUGGAGGACCGAACCGACUUACGUUGAAAAGUGAGCGGAUGAACUGAGGGUAGCGGAGAAAUUCCAAUCGAACCUGGAGAUAGCUGGUUCUCUCCGAAAUAGCUUUAGGUCUAGCCUCAAGUGAUGAUUAUUGGAGGUAGAGCACUGUUUGGACGAGGGGCCCCUCUCGGGUUACCGAAUUCAGACAAACUCCGAAUGCCAAUUAAUUUAACUUGGGAGUCAGAACAUGGGUGAUAAGGUCCGUGUUCGAAAGGGAAACAGCCCAGACCACCAGCUAAGGUCCCAAAAUAUAUGUUAAGUGGAAAAGGAUGUGGCGUUGCCCAGACAACUAGGAUGUUGGCUUAGAAGCAGCCAUCAUUUAAAGAGUGCGUAAUAGCUCACUAGUCGAGUGACACUGCGCCGAAAAUGUACCGGGGCUAAACAUAUUACCGAAGCUGUGGAUUGUCCUUUGGACAAUGGUAGGAGAGCGUUCUAAGGGCGUUGAAGCAUGAUCGUAAGGACAUGUGGAGCGCUUAGAAGUGAGAAUGCCGGUGUGAGUAGCGAAAGACGGGUGAGAAUCCCGUCCACCGAUUGACUAAGGUUUCCAGAGGAAGGCUCGUCCGCUCUGGGUUAGUCGGGUCCUAAGCUGAGGCCGACAGGCGUAGGCGAUGGAUAACAGGUUGAUAUUCCUGUACCACCUAUAAUCGUUUUAAUCGAUGGGGGGACGCAGUAGGAUAGGCGAAGCGUGCGAUUGGAUUGCACGUCUAAGCAGUAAGGCUGAGUAUUAGGCAAAUCCGGUACUCGUUAAGGCUGAGCUGUGAUGGGGAGAAGACAUUGAGUCUUCGAGUCGUUGAUUUCACACUGCCGAGAAAAGCCUCUAGAUAGAAAAUAGGUGCCCGUACCGCAAACCGACACAGGUAGUCAAGAUGAGAAUUCUAAGGUGAGCGAGCGAACUCUCGUUAAGGAACUCGGCAAAAUGACCCCGUAACUUCGGGAGAAGGGGUGCUCUUUAGGGUUAACGCCCAGAAGAGCCGCAGUGAAUAGGCCCAAGCGACUGUUUAUCAAAAACACAGGUCUCUGCUAAACCGUAAGGUGAUGUAUAGGGGCUGACGCCUGCCCGGUGCUGGAAGGUUAAGAGGAGUGGUUAGCUUCUGCGAAGCUACGAAUCGAAGCCCCAGUAAACGGCGGCCGUAACUAUAACGGUCCUAAGGUAGCGAAAUUCCUUGUCGGGUAAGUUCCGACCCGCACGAAAGGCGUAACGAUUUGGGCACUGUCUCAACGAGAGACUCGGUGAAAUCAUAGUACCUGUGAAGAUGCAGGUUACCCGCGACAGGACGGAAAGACCCCGUGGAGCUUUACUGUAGCCUGAUAUUGAAAUUCGGCACAGCUUGUACAGGAUAGGUAGGAGCCUUUGAAACGUGAGCGCUAGCUUACGUGGAGGCGCUGGUGGGAUACUACCCUAGCUGUGUUGGCUUUCUAACCCGCACCACUUAUCGUGGUGGGAGACAGUGUCAAGCGGGCAGUUUGACUGGGGCGGUCGCCUCCUAAAAGGUAACGGAGGCGCUCAAAGGUUCCCUCAGAAUGGUUGGAAAUCAUUCAUAGAGUGUAAAGGCAUAAGGGAGCUUGACUGCGAGACCUACAAGUCGAGCAGGGUCGAAAGACGGACUUAGUGAUCCGGUGGUUCCGCAUGGAAGGGCCAUCGCUCAACGGAUAAAAGCUACCCCGGGGAUAACAGGCUUAUCUCCCCCAAGAGUUCACAUCGACGGGGAGGUUUGGCACCUCGAUGUCGGCUCAUCGCAUCCUGGGGCUGUAGUCGGUCCCAAGGGUUGGGCUGUUCGCCCAUUAAAGCGGUACGCGAGCUGGGUUCAGAACGUCGUGAGACAGUUCGGUCCCUAUCCGUCGUGGGCGUAGGAAAUUUGAGAGGAGCUGUCCUUAGUACGAGAGGACCGGGAUGGACAUACCUCUGGUGUACCAGUUGUCGUGCCAACGGCAUAGCUGGGUAGCUAUGUGUGGACGGGAUAAGUGCUGAAAGCAUCUAAGCAUGAAGCCCCCCUCAAGAUGAGAUUUCCCAACUUCGGUUAUAAGAUCCCUCAAAGAUGAUGAGGUUAAUAGGUUCGAGGUGGAAGCAUGGUGACAUGUGGAGCUGACGAAUACUAAUCGAUCGAAGACUUAAUCAA